rnacentral:rRNA from 1 species
CAGGUAGGACUACCCGCUGAACUUAAGCAUAUCAAAGGGGG